CUCAAUUAAAUCAACCAAUAGGAGACAUUCGUUUUGCCACGUCAUCAGUAUUUGUCCUGAAGCUCGAGAAAGUCGGCGAAGGCACUUACGGGAAGGUUUACAGAUCCAGAGAGAAAGCUACCGGAAAGACGCGUCUCCAUGGAGACGAAGAAGGCGUUCUUUCCACCACUCUCCGCAAGAUCUCCAUCUUACGCAUGCUCGCUUGCGAUCCUCACAUCGUCAGGUUGAUGGAUGUUAAGCAAGGACUGAGCAAAGAUGGCAAAACUGUGCUCUACCUGGUGUUCGAGUACAUGGACACUGAUGUCAAGAAGUACAUCAGAAGUUUCCGUUAAACCGGAGACAACAUUCCUCCCCAAAUCGUCAAGAGCUUGAUGUACCAACUCUGCAAAGGAAUCGCAUUCUGCCAUGGCCACGGUGUGCUGCACAGAGAUCUGAAGCCUCACAAUCUCUUGAUGGAUCCCAAGACGAUGAGGCUCAAGAUUGCAGAUCUUGGUUUAGCCAGAGCCUUCACUCUCCCUAUGAAGAAGUAUAACCAUGAGUGGGUAUUGAAUGCUAGAAGCUCUAUAUUCAGGAAAAGCACCAGGACUUACCUGGUAUCAGGCAUACUUUGAUGCGCCAGGGGUUUAGUAAUUUAAGUUUUCUUUUUCCAUCUGAAGAAGAUUCUUUAACGAAACAAGGAAAAUAAAUUAGUACGUAUUCCUCUUAGUAUCACUAGACAUGAAAAUAAAAGUUUUGUGCUCACUUCACCACCACAGACAUUAUAGACUGCAUACUGGGAAAGUUGAUAACACUGAAACAUCACAUGAGUGGUGCUAUAUCUCAUGUUCCAAGAGCUCCUGGAAACUGCAGCGUGGGCUUUCAUCUUUCGUGUGUGGAUCCUAUCAUGAUGAAAAAGCUGUUGGCAUUGUAAGUACCGGGUGGAGAUGGCAGUAUCAGAUGCAUCCGACUAUGCUCUGUUUGUGGCUUUCGAUGCUGAGAUGAACAAGCUGAUGAAUGUUCCUGCUGCAUGAGUGUCUCAAGACAUGG